rnacentral:lncRNA from 1 species
AGUGUUUCCCACUGGUCUCUCCCACAGAUGACGCCUGCAGAGGUGCGCGAGGCUGGGUGUCCAUCUCACUCACCCAGCCUGAAAAUGUCUAUGUGAAGAAGCGUAAGCAAAACAGACACUUGUGCUAAUCACUGUUCAGAGCUUGGCUGCUGAGUGUUUUCUGGGAGCUGCAUUGUCAGUUGAGGGCUGCCCGCUGCGUGGGGUGGAUUCCCCAGCCCUCACAGGAUAAUUUUAUCACAGAGGACAACAUUUGUAGUUCUGCAUGAGUGGCUCUCCUGGCGAGAUAAAGAAGAGACAGUGAGCUGAGGCUGAGGCUGAGAAGGCUGGCAUAUGUGAUGUCUUCGGGGAUCGGAAGCUCUGUGGAUGACAGGAUUAGGCAUGUACAGGACCAUGGAACAGCAAGCUGAGCCACUAGGGCCCUCAGGGAGGAGAAACCCAGAAGCCUGACAUGCCAGCAAAAGGGUAAAGAAAGCUUUUAUGGUUCCCUGACUGAGGAUAAUCAACCCCUUCAUAAUUUAGAAUCCAAAGAUUGGAUCUUCUGAGAACAUCAGAGAAAGACUGCCCUUGCCAUCCACACUGCAACAAAACUUCAGAACCUUGAACCUUGGGUUCAUAAUCUCACAACAAAGAAGGGUCCCUCCAUGUUCUUGGAGCUGUACACCCAUUGGAACUCUUAAGGUAAAGCUAACCAGGGAAGUUUCUCCCCAGAAGAUGGGAUCCUUAAUGUGAACAGCUUUUCCCAAUAUCACAGAUCAAGAUUUCUCUACUAUCAUGAGACUUUUAUCUUUGAAUAUUUUCCCUUCCUUAUGCCUCUAUAAACACUAGGAGUGAAAAGGGGGUCUGUUGUGUACACUUAUAGGGUAUGAUUUUAUUUGUGAAGGAUUUUGCAGCCAGCGUUAUACAUGGAUAACUUUAUACCUUGAUGGAUGACAGAUGAGGGACCAAUGUAGGUGAGAAACUUUAAUGGUACAUACAUUGCCUCCUAAUCAGUCAGAAAUAAAACAUUAGUUCACUCCUCUUAAUCCACAUCAUAAGUUAAAGAGAAUAUUGCCAGGAGGCCUUCAUUCUUCUAGAAGGGCAUCAUUUGUUAGGUCCUUUUUCCAUGGUUUGGAGUAAAAGAAGCAAUGAUUUAAAAUGUAUCCCUCAUGAUAAACUCUAUAGCAGAUUCUACUGUAAAGGCUAUAGUUAUACAACAGAAUUUAAAUUAUCUUGUGAAAGUUAUGCUAACUAAUCAAAUUGCUCUAGAUUAUUUACUGGCUAAACAGAAGUAUCUGUGCAGCUGCUGGCACUUGUGGCCUGUGGAGAAAUACAUCACAUCAGGUAUUAUAGAGAUUCAGUUGUAGGGGACUAGCCAAGAGGCUGCUUAGUUAAGUAGGUAGACUCUUUAUCUAGCUCAUUCUUUGAUCUAUUUGAUUUUAUAUGGUUUGGUUUAUGGGGACCCUGGGUAAGGCGAAUACUGUAAACUCUUGGUAUUAUCCUCCCAAUAGUCAUAAUAGUAGUCUCCCUGGUGUGCUAUAUUCUCUCAAAGGUUUUAAAUGUUUGCGUGCAGCCAUCUCUAAAGGGUCAAAUGGUCUGUCUUCAACUGGCAUGACAAGAUCUGAAAGAAAAGUGUGAUCAUGAGGACACCACAACCUAUGAAUGACAUGCUGAGACUGGAAACUCAAAAUGAUGGUAACUGAGAGUGCUGCUAAGGUCCUAAAUUUUGGUUACACUCUCACCUAAGAGAACCUGAACAAAAAAGGAAUUUUUUUAAACAAAAUUAUGAGAGGCCAUUGUUUUGGACUGAGCUUAUGC